AAGUGCUGCAUAUUUCAAGUUCCCCUAGAGUCCCAUUCCCAUGUCCGUCCUCUUUAAAGUGAUGAGCUCUCUACAUCAGGAGACACAGGGUGGCGACUUGCAGGUGUGGCCUGAGACAGCAGAAGUAGGAGCUCUGCAGGAAGUCCAGAUGGCAGUGUGCCCACUUCCCCAGCAUGAAGGGUCUGUGUCCAGCACAGGAGGAGGAAAGUGACAGCAAGCUGGAGGAAAAUGGGUACCACUUUGGAUGGAAUGCUGGGACAUUGCUCCACUUUGGAAAUCUGCAGGUUCUGCUGGAUAUGUUCUGAGACAAAGCUCAUCUUCACCGUAUGUGCAUCCUGUCUCAUCUAGGCAAGUGUUCAGUGAGCUGGGUGCAGGAAGCACAGCGUCUAGACACAGACAUGUGCCUGGCCAUAUCCUGAAUCGUGGACCCCGAGAAUUCCUGACUUGCAUGUGUGCACACUGAGCAUUGGUGACAUGGAGGGAAAAGAGCACCUCUCCCCUCCCCUUCCUGGCAGACUAGCAUGCCAUUGUCUGAGCUCCAGAGGAACUCAGAGGCUCCACACAGCAACAGGAGGACAUGCUGUGGAGGACGAUGACAUGGUUUCUCUGCCUCCAUCCAACUACAGACAACCACCCCAAAUUACCAACAAGACCUGGGGAAUCUACAGGAGCGUCCCCUUGUGAAAGCCUCCCAGUGGGUACUUACUGUUGAAUCCUGCCCAACUUAGACCCAUCUGCAUUUUGACACUUCAGAAAGUCACCUAUGCCUCUCUGUCUUCACAGAUAACAAAGAAAACCUGCCUGAGCAGGUAAAGAAAUAUCUCAGAAGAGCCUUGGGAAUUAAAUGUGCUUCUCUUUCUGAACUCUAGAGUGGAUCUCCUGAGAAGGGCAGUACCCAUGGACCACCUGUCACAGGCCUCCACUAACAUGAUGAGGCAGAACUUGAGGUCAUACAUUUGGCCAAUUUCUCACUGGUAUUAGGCAGAGACAAUUUACAAAGAAAUACUCAAGUAUUUAAUUAGAAUUCUAACAUAAUUUCUAUAAAUUGGCAUUCAGAAUGCUUUGACCACUGGAGGAGAGAAAUCCAAAGCUAAUGAGCUCUCCGGCUCCACCAGUUGUUAUUCUAAAGGUGACAGAUGUUUGCACUUCAUCUAUAGAAUCAGCAAAAUCCAGUCUGAUGCUCAAACACAAGAUGUAACAACCAAUGGGAUCUAAACCUAGAAGACAUGGCAGAGGACAGGAGAGAUCCCUCCAGACUCUGAUCUUCUCCCAGGACUUUGCACAAAGCCUCAGAGAUCCACAAAAGGCUACAGGGAAGUAAUGGAGACUGGAUACGUGGAACAAAACAGAAUGCUCAGAAGCAAACCCAGCAAGAUCCUGCCAGCUGAUUUUCUUAUAGUCACCCAUGGAAAUCAAGGCAGAGAGAAUGGCUUGUCCACAAAUGAUUGCAGAAGAAGAUUUAAAAAACAAGCAAUAAGGAACCUAUUGAAAAACUGAACACAGUCACCAUUUCUAUUGACCUCAAAUACAAACACUAUAAUGCUCACAUAAAGUUAUAGUAGAGGACUACAUACAUUCCUGCCUUAUAGAAAGGAAGAUCAGAAAUAACAUGGAAAAGAUGAACUGUGGACUCAGGAGCCCUGAUGCCACCAGCCAUGAAAAUACAGAAGCUGGAGCAUGGCAAGAGCAGGACACUCCCCCAGGACAUCUAGAGAGAACCUGGCCACUGACACACCCCAGCAGACAACAAAUCCCUGACAGUGAACGUUGUGUGGCUAAGAGGAGGUGGAGGUGUAGUGUGUGUUGUGUGGUGUGAGGAGGGCUGAAACCUAUCACAUCAUGUGGGAUGGAGAUGAGCUGUCCAGCUGAUCUGAUAACAGCACUGUAUUGAUGGUCCAGUCAGCUGGGGAAAGCAGCAGGGCUGACACCUAGAUACUCACAUGUGCUACCUAUGCCCCUCCCCUUGUUAACAACUUACAUACAGUGUCAGUGUAAGGACAUGAAGGACUCCCCUCACCCACACUCACCACAGAGUUCUCUAGGUAUUAGGCCUAGAUAUUCAACUACCUUCUGCUAUCCCACACGCAAUGCUAGAUUCUAGAACAUGCUAAAUGCCUCCAACCACAGUGUACUAAGACAUGGGGAAAGGUAUCAGACACUGUUGCACACUUUACCUUCUGACAAGGACACACAGUUACUGCUUGGUUCAAACACUCCUGGAAUCUUCCUGCACUGACGUACAACACUAGGUAUAAUGCAGCGUGUGACACUACAGCCAUGCCACCUCACUUGUACUACCAGCUGUCAGACCAGAUAAACAACCUCUACAUCACACACACACACACACACACACACACACACACACACACACACACACACACACUUUAAUACACUUCUAAGUAUUGGGCCAUGCAUGACUUCCCACCAAACCACACAUUGACUGCUAGGUAUCAGGCAUUGCUAAACAAACCCUCACACAUACCUCUCAUGUAUUCCUAGGUCUGGAUCCAGAAUACAACCCACAUAAUCCUUUAUUAACAGCCACUUAUCAGGUCAUACAGGACACUCUCUUGCCACUGUACGCAAAUACUCUGCUAGUAUUAGACCCCACUUGACACCCUAACAUCACUGAAAUUUCACAUACACUGCUAGGGUUCAUGCCCUCUUGAGUAUCACACCGCACCACCACAAUCUACAGUGUUAGUAUCAGGGCCCACUGGAUACCACAUUCCAUCAACCCACAUAUCCCUGUUAUAUUUCAGACCUGCUGGUCAUUCCAAACUCCAUGGCAACUCCUACCAGGCUAGCUGAAGGCCCUGGAAUGCACACAUCACCCUGCAGCCCUCACAUGCACUGUCAGGUGUCAGGCUCUGCUGGCUCCCUCAAUGCCUCACUCACACACUGAAGUGUCAAGCACACUUGUACAAUACAUCGCAUACUGCCAACGUACUUCAAAAUGAAUGAUCAGACCUUGAUGGACACCAGAUCACCCAUAAGCUGACACAUACUCAGUAGGGAUUGUGCAGAGCUCGACACCCCAUCCUUCCACUGCUCCCCUCUGACAUACAGUUAUCAUCAAACACACUGGACACACCACCACCCCUGUGACCACACAUCCACUCUAGGUACCAGGUCCAGUUUGACCUCAUACCCCACAUUAAUCGACAGCCAUCAGACCAUGCUGGGAACAUUCCCCCUGUCAGGUCUUGCACAAUACGUAGCAAUUAGCAUUUCUGGACCCCCUCCUUCUGCUGAAGACACAUCCACACUGCUAGGCAUCAGCUUCUACUGGACUCCUUCCUAUGCUAUACCACGUGCUGGGUCUCAGGCUCUACUGCUGGUUACUGGGCCAUGCUGGACACUAACCCCUGUCCAAACCACAGUGCAUAUAAAGUGCUGUGUGUCAGGUUCACUUGAACACAAGCUUCAUCACACAUGACUUGCUAGGUACCAGACAAUGUUGACACACACCCUUACCCCCUAUAUACACUACUGGCCCAGUGAACACUGCAAUUUUAAGGCUCUUCUAGACACCUCCAUCACUGACAUAUCAAGUUUCUUGCUAUCAGACACUACCACUCUGUGCAGAUUUCAGUCAUGUAUAUUGAAGUAUAUUGUAUGCAUAUACAAUAAUUGGCUUCAAGCCUUACCCAAAGUAGCACCAUUCUGUUGACAACAUACACUACCAGACAGGGGCAUGGGUCUAAGCACAGCUGAAAAUUAGCAGGGCUAUUGUGGCAGGAGGAUGGGUGUGGAAGAGAAACUUAUUAGAUGAGGCCUGUUAUCCUGCACAAUAUCCAGGUUAGGACUGGGGAGUCCUGAGGAUGUGAUACACUGUAGGGCAUCUAGGCCUCAGGCAGGUGUGCAGCAAAGCCUGAAACCAAGCAGUGUGUUUCAGGCUAUAGUGGCAGGGAUAGGGGUGUCCAGCUGGGCCUGGUAACUAGUGGGACAUGGAUGGGUUUGGCAGCAGGACUGGGGGGCAGUAGCUAGCAAGGCCGGUUAUGUGGCCAGCCCCUCAUAGUGGGAUGAGUCUCUGCGGGAGAAGCAGGAAGAUGCUCUACAGUGUUUCUUAUGAAUACAACAGUGUAUGUUGGGUGGCAUCAGUUGGGAGCUGUAUAGAUUCCUUAUGACAUGACACCUAGCAGUCUAUGUAGGAUAUCAGGGGCGUUUGCAGCCCUGUGUUUUCAAUAGUAGUGUAUGUGGAACAGUGCUAAAGAUGAUGAUGUUAUAAGGAAAAGUGUGUGUGUGCGCGUGCUCGCAUGUGUGCACACGUGUGUUUGAACUUGUAGUGAGUGGUCAGAGAGUGUGCUGUAUUGUCAUGGAGAUAGCUGUCUUAGAGAAAAUGAGUCAGUGACUAGGCAAAUAGAAUCCCAGGGUCAGUAUAUUAUUAAUGGAGUUGAUCUGAGAAAGUAUCUUCAAGACAUGGACUUGAGAGAUUUGGAAGAGUAAGGGUAGAAAACUAGAAAUGUGAGGCUUGAUGAAUACAGGCCUAGGGGAGGAAUUUGACUUUAUUUUUACUGUACCAAGAAGCCAAGUUUUCUCUUUGCCAACAACACUAGGUAUCAUCGUCUGUAAGGAGUCCCCACACUUAAAACCCACCCCCACAUUGCUAGGUGUCAGCGUCUACUCUGAAAAAUGUCUUCUACAGCAGGUGCCAAACACACAUGCCUAGGCGUGAGGUCCGGUAGGUCAACUGUCCAUUAAAGAAAAUGCUCCUCUCAUACAGUUGGGUAGCUUGUCCUCCACGACAUCAACAAUGCAAUGGCUAAAGCCCCAUGCACAGGGCUGGGUAUCUGGUGUUUCUAAGGAUCCCCUUACCUACAGCAGCAGAAGCCAUAAACAGACGCCCACAUACUAUGACACAAGUGUCAGGGGCCAGUAUUUAUCUCUUCCCAUACAACCACAUAUACAUACGUGGUUAGGUCACAUUCCUGAUAGGAAUUGCCUCAGCUACAUCAGUGCAAACACCCAGAACUAGGCUUCAGAUCCUGCUGGGCACCUCUUCCCUACAUCCAAAGGACCACACAGUUACACAGCUAGUUUUCUAGUACUGGUACCCCUCCCCUAUAGUCAAAUGCCUUGUACACAGCCACACACUCACAAACACACUCAGGCACACAUGCUUGUAUGAUCCCAUGCACGUGCUCAUGCACUUUCAUCUAGCUGUCAUGUCAACAAGGUCUCCCCCAUUCAGCCAAAGCCCUAUUUACACACAGCUGUCAAAGUGCUGCCCUUCUGGGUGUCCAUCCCCUGCAGCCAAACACAUACACAGAGACAGACAGAGACACAGAGACAAAGAUACAGACAGAGAGACACAGAGUCUGAGGUCAGGUGCUGCUGUUCCCAUUCCAUAACAGACAAAGCUGUCUACUCAGGGCUAGGUGUCAGGUCCUGAUACCUACCUCUUUUUCUAUAUUCAUAGUGCAAUAUUCUUACACAGCUAGUUUACCAAUAUGCACCCCCUCCCUAUAAUCAAAUGCUAGGUACACACUCACACACUCAGAAACACACUCAGGCAUGCAUGCUCCUAUAAAUGCCUUCACGAAUUCAAUACACUCUCAGCUAGCUAUCAGGUCCUAGAAGAUAGCCACCAUACAAGGAAAAACCCUCAUAUACUUCUAGGUGUUAACUCCUGUGAGUUAGAGGUAUCACCCAUACCAAAAAUAUCCCCACACACACCUCUAGGUGUUAGGUCCUGUGAGGUGUCCCACAUAGAGCCAAAGCCCUAUUUACACACAGCCAACAAGGUGCUUCUGCUGCUAGGUGUCCAUUACUAAAGCGAAUCUCUCUGUCUCUUUCUCUCCCCUCUCCCACUGCAUCCCCUCCCUCUGUCACAUACACACAUGUAUAUAUGUACAUCUAAGGCCCUGUACUGUUAGGUAUACAUUUGCCUAGAGCCAAAGACUCCCAAUACAUGCAAUUUGACUGGACUUUCAGGGUUAUUGUCUCCAUUAUAGGCAAAGCCACCCCCUCAUCAACACACAACACACACACACACACACACACACACACACACACACACACACAAGUGCAGUUACAUGGCAGGAUCUGUUGGAUUUACAGCUUCCUUAGAGCCAAAGCAUCUAAACAGGGCCAGGUGUCAGCUUCUGUUAGGUCCACUCUUCCCUACAGCCAAUAUUCCUCUUACAGCAGCUAGGUAUCAUGAACUCCUAGAGAUCCAAUGCGAUACACUAGAGUCCCAUGCACAAGGCUAGGCAUCACAUCCUGCUAGGAACCCCGGACACAGGCAAACACCCAGGCACAGCUCUCAUAUUCAUAUAAGGCAAGUGUCAGGUCAGGUAUUUGUCUCUAGCCUUACAACCAAAGUUCCACAUACACAAACAUGGUUAGGUUUUAGGAUCUGCUAGGUACCUUCUUCCCCACAGCAAAACACCAGGUUAACAAACAUACAAAUGCAAGCAUGCACACAUGCACAUAUACAAUCAUGCAUGCAGGCCUGUGGGAACCCUCCCCUGAGUGUGAGUCCCAGGAGUACCCUAGACACAUGAAUGGAGCUAUGGAUUUAGGGGAAGGCUAGGACUUGGCACCUACCUGUGAGUGUGUGGCUUUGAUGUAGAACUGGGGUCUUCCUCACAGGAAUACAAGUAGUCAUGUAUGUGUUUAUGACUUUGGCUGUAAGGGUGAGACUACAGUGCUACUCUUGACACCUAGCCCUGUGUGGAGAACUAGGGCUUAAAAUAGAAAGAAGUCCAUCAGGACUUGACUUUGUGUGUGUGUGUGUGUGUGUGUGUGUGUGUGUGUGUGUGUGUGUGUGUGUGUGUAGGGUUGUGCAUUAGCUUGGUGAAGUAAUGCCUAGUAGGUCUUUACACACCUACCCUACAGCCAAAGACCUUUAUUCACAUAUAUGGCUCACUAUCAGUUCCUGCUGGAUAAACAAUUCCUUACAGCCUAGCCAAACUGACACAAAUCUCAGAACCUGCUAGGAAUAUCACCCUAUAUUGAAAAGACCCACCUAUGACUAGAGCACCAUGUCCUCCUCAGUAUCAUGUCCCCAAAAGCAAAGCUUCAAAUAUACUGGCCAGGUGUCACAUCAUGCUAGGUACCCUAAUCUCUACAGCCAAUGUUACAGGUACACAAAGAGAUGGAGUUAGGUUAUUCUGACUGCCCCAGACUUAUAAUCAAAGACUCUAUCUCUGUCUCUGUCUGUCUCUCUCAUACACACACACACACACACACACACACACACACACACACACACACACAACUAUGUAUCUGUUACUUCUAGACAUUUCCUCCCCCCAGGAAAGUCCCACAUAACACAGACAGGGCUAGAUUUCUACUCCUGCUAGAUACAAUCUCCCUAGUAAGAUCUCAGAAGAACCUCUAAGAGGACAUGGUAUCUAGCUGAGUAAGAGGAAUAUACAUACAGCCAAAGCUAGACACAAAAAGCUAGGUGUCAGUUCUUUUGGUAUCCAAUCCCAUCUGUGUAUCUCUAUGUUUUAUACUCACUUCAGAAGUGUGGGAGCCAGAAACAGCUGAUGGAGAUGACCUCUGGCAUUUGUCUUUCUGGAUCUGGGUUCUCUCACUCAAUAUUAUCUUUUCCACAUCCAUCCAUUUACACAGAAGGAUGGCUUAAACAAAGAGGAUUAUUUGCUGAGUGUCUGAAACUAGUCCUGUGAUUUUGCAGUUGCAUGCAGUUUACAGGACUCAUUUCUUUAUUAAUGCCUAAUGUGGGAGAUCAGGCCCAAUGUGGGUGCCUCCACCCCUGUACAUUGGUCAGGAAUUGUGUAAGAAAGGAAACUGAAUUAGCCAUGAAGAGCAAGUCAGGAAAGAGCUGUCCUCUGAAUCUGCUAGAGUUCCUGAAAACUUCCCUAAUGAUGGACAUUGAACAGGACAUGGGGGCCAAAUAAACUCUUUCUACCACA